UUCUUUAUCCUCAUCUUAUGGCUAUGGAAGCCCGUCGAUCCUCUCACUUUCUCUCUCUCCCUCUUCCUUAGGGUUAGGAUUUCUCUCUCCUCCAUGGCGACGGCAUCCAAGGUGUCCUUCGUCGCCGCCGCCGUGCUCUUCUCGGCCUCCCCUCGUCCCCACCACCACCCGUCCAUCAACCUCCAGAAGCUCCACCACUUCCCUCCUCGUCGGCCCAUCGUAAGCACUCUCCAGAGGAUCGCUUGCAAGGCAACAGAGGUCUCGAAGGUCGAGGAAGGAGAGCCGGAAGUGGUUCCGAAAGGAGGGGAUGAUGGGGAGACUUGGGUUCCAGUGGUCCCAUUGGCGACGCUGCCCAAGGGGGAGCGGCGGGUGAUCAUACAGGAUGGAGAAACUAUCUUGCUUCUCUGGUACAAAGAUGAGAUCUUUGCGAUCGAGAACCGGUCCCCUGCCGAGGGGGCUUACAGCGAAGGCCUUUUGAACGCCAAGCUCACUCAGGAUGGUUGUAUUGUUUGCCCAACGACAGAUAGCAUAUUUGAUCUUCGAACUGGAGCGAUAAAGGAUUGGUACCCGAAAAACCCUGUUCUGAGGGCUCUAACUCCAGCUUUGAGGACACUCCUUGUGUACCCUGCGAAAACAGAUGGGGAGAACAUAUAUAUCAGCAUGAAAGGUGUCCAAGCUGGAGGUUCGGCAGAAAUUGUUUUCAGCGGCAAAGCUAAUCCUGGUUUGACUGCAUCUGAUGUCAAUGUGGAAGAGGUGAGAAUGGUAGUUGAUGAGGAUCUUGAAGGUUUUGGUUUCACAGGAAAGAAUGAAUUGAUAAAUGGGAAAGCAGCUACAAUUGGCUUUCUACUAUUAAUAGAUUUUGAGCUCUUAACUGGUAAAGGUCUCCUUAAGGGGACAGGUUUCUUGGACUUCAUUUAUGCAGCUUCAAGGGCUUUCAGCUCUUCAUAAACAUUCUUAAUAAUUCCUCCUGAAGGUGCUACAAACUUAAGGUUUUUAUGAGUUCAGAAGAGAAACAUCAAGUAUGAAAACAGAUCAAUCAAGGGACAUGCAUCUCUCAAAGCCCAGUCUGGCUUAAACUUCUUAUCUCCAGUGUUCAUGUAGAAGUAGGUCAGAUUUUGAUUUCUCUUUGUAAGAUACCUGCCACAUUCCUGUUACAUCAAUACAAUAUGCCGAUUGUGCAUUUCUUUGUAAGAUUUCCUCGCAGAAGUUCCUGACAAGCAGUCCCUUUCCUAAGUCGCAUGCAUGGUGAGCCUAGCAAUUAGAAGUUCAAGAUAGUAUCAUAUUUUUCAGGGAUUUGCAAAUGGACCUUGACUCUUGAUCAACCUAUCAUUCUGCUGAGCUUCGUCUCCAUCUGUUAAUUAUAUUUAGCACAAUUAAAUGCA